rnacentral:lncRNA from 1 species
AGGUCUUGAGAUGGGCAACAGAGCUGUAAGAUCCCGCCAAGUACACCAUGUGCUCAUGCUAGUGAUGUCAUUAAGCUACUAGGGCAUAGUGAUGAGAUUUUUCUGAGAUCUAACCGUUUCCCUCCGCUAGCUCCUGACCCCAGCCCAGCAGGCUGUCUCCUCAGUAACACAUGGGCCUUGGUAUCUGGCACCCAUCAGCCAGCCUCAUAGGAAAGAAGCCACCUCCGCUGUAUUUGAAGUUUCACUUUUUAAAAAAAAAAUGUUUCCCACCUUUUUAUCCUUCACCCACUGUCCUUCCACCUGCUCACUCACUCACUCUCUCACCCAUCCUGCUCCACACUUCUUUGGUAGUAAAUGACACCAUCACCAGCAGUUUACACCCGCAGUUAACAGGCAUCGAACUGAAAGAAUCAGUGAUGACGUUUUUGUGCAUCUUCGCUGAGUGGGUAAGUGGCAAUGCUUUGCCAAAUAUUAACGAAGCCAAUCAAAGAGCAGCGCAGCCACAGUAUCACUGCACAUAUAUAUAUAGAUAUAUAAAUAUAAUAUAAAUAUUUAUUUUUUGUAGCCAGGUCCUUGGUGCAGUAUUUAUACUCCACAAUCCACCUUUUAAAAAAAGGACAAAAAGCAAAAAGAUGUGUGAUGCUGUUAAUAAUUUAAAAUGCAGAGCCAAAGCCACUGAGCAGCAGCUGACAUGGUUGCUGGUUUGUGUGUGAAAAACAUUUUCCCCCUCUUCUUUCCUUAACCUCCUUGUUGCUUAGGAUGAGGAGACUCUGUAAUUUAAAGCAGAGGACGAGAGGAGGAAGAAACUUCCAUGUUAACAUGGCCUACUCUCACUCCUUUCUAAACGAGCCACUUUUGGCGUCAGAAGUUGACUGGAGAGAGAUAAACAAACUCCCAGUCAAAGCCCCUAAAGCGACAGUGCCCAGAGUUCUUUUAUUUUUUGCUGCAACCAACGUAAACCUGUAAAAGACCAACAGUGAAGAUUAGUGUAUUAGUGAAUGCAUGGAGGCCAAUGCUGCCCUAAUGAGACGUGAUAAAAAGUCCAUCACUCCUCUAAGCCAAAAGGAAACAAAAUAAAAAUGACCCUUUUUACUGUACAAGGGAAGCCUGUCUUGGUGUGUUUGUUGCUUGACUAUCCCAAUUCUUGAGUCCUGGGAGGGGUCUGGGAAUUGGGACCUUAGCACAUUUGGGGAAAGGAGGGGAAUAGAGGGAAGAGAAAUCAAAGGGGCUCUCGCAAAGUUCUGGCUAAGAAGGAGAGAUUGGAAGAAAAGCAAGGUCCUGACCCCCCCCAGAUCCCCACUCACCCAUUGCAUGUGGCAUUCCCCACUACUGGCCGGUGCUUAGAGGCCCAUAAAACCUCUCUUCACCUAAUCCACCUGGCAGAGCCCUCAGAGAUGACGUCAGCCAACCCAGCUGGACUGGCCUUACUUCUGCCUUUUUCACCUGUAUGUUAAAAAACAAAAACAAAAAAACCCUAUCCCUGUGCCCCAAAGCUAGGGCAUGUGCGAUGCCCAACAGCCUCCACUCUGCAAGCUCAUACUGGGCCCUGCCCUCCAUCGCCCCAGACAGGCCCACAGACGAGGGCUGGUCUCCUUCACAUUUGUGUGGGGGUGGGGGCACGCUUCCUCUUCCUUCUCUCCCUGUCCCCCUUUGGGGACAUCCCUCUCUAGGCCUAGGCCAUGUCUCCUGGUUCAGGAACACUCUCUCAGGAGGAUCUCGAAGUGCCCACUCUAGUCCGCUCCAGUAGCUCCACUCUGGAGCGAGAUGGCUGGUAGGUCAGUCCCCAUCCUCCUCCCCUCGGCCCCCAGCCUCCAGGCCUGCUGUGGAGGUGAGAUCGCCAUGGGUCAUGACUUUGUGACUUGAGUCCUGGGCAUCUUCUGUAAUGAUGCCUCUUUCUUUUCUCAGAUGUUGCCCACAGUUUAGCAAAAAGCUUCGUUCAUUUUCAGGUACUCCCCACCCCCUAAAGAAUUGGCUGCAACUUGCCAGCCAGGGGGACAUCAGGAGAGAAGAGGAAGUCUGGGUUGGGAGGGGCCCAAGUUUUGCAACAGAGUUUCCAUUGUUCAGCUCUGUGCUUUCUUGGAUUCCCUUUCCAAGAUUACCAAGAUUUCCUCCAUUAAAACUCCUGAGGCACCCCCUGCCCCUGCCCCCCACUGCUGUUUGCUGUACAUAGAGGCUAAGUGGGGUGGGGUGGGUGGGUGUGCACAUGUGGUGUGUGUGUGUGUGUGUGAAGAAUGUAUAUAGGUAAAGGGGAGUGUGGUCCAGUGGUUCCAGAAAAGGGACAGAACUGUGUUCUGUCCCUAGCUUGACCGCUGGCUCGCUGUGUGGCCUUGGGCAAGUCACUUAACCUCUCUGUGCCUCAGUUUCCCCAUCUGUAAAAUGGGGAUAAUAAUACUGACCUACCUCACAGGGGUGUUGUGAGGCUUUAACUAAAUGUUUUGUAAAGCGUUUUGAGAUACAGAGGCAAAGGCGCUAGGGAAGGGCAAAGUAUUAUUGGACUUAAGGAAGCUGAAAUGGUACCAUAAAUGCUGCUAUUCUGAGAGCCAUUUUAAACUGCACUGCUCCAACCACCCCCGCUUCUCAUCACCAGGACAGCAGGUCGAGAAAAUGUCUUUCCUUUCACUUGCUUCUGGGGUUUGUGAUUAUUCAAGACAAUUUUUUCCCCUUGCUGUAUCUCCUUCCCUCACCUCCUCGACUUGUUCCCUGUUCUGUUUAUGCGGAAAUGGCAGAAAUGCUUGAGAAAUGAGAAUGUGUAAGUGGAUUGGAAGUUUAUAGUAUGAAAUUUCAAUUUUACUUUGUACUGUACAUCUUUUUACUUUAGAAUUUGCAAUAAAGGGUUACGUCAAUCUUGUUUUCAACUCUC